CUAUGGGCGGCUCCAGUGGGGAAUAUUGGACAAUGGGGGAAACCCUGAUCCAGCAAUGCCGCGUGUGUGAAGAAGGCCUGCGGGUUGUAAAGCACUUUCGGUUGGGAGGACUGCUUCUAGCACUAAUAUUGUUGGAAGUUGACGUUACCUUCAGAAGAAGCACCGGCUAACUCCGUGCCAGCAGCCGCUGUAAUACGGAGGGUGCAAGCGUUAAUCGGAAUUACUGGGCGUAAAGCGCGCGUAGGCGGCUAGAUCAGUCGGGUGUGAAAGCCCCGGGCUUAACCUGGGAACUGCAUCCGAUACUGUCUAGCUUGAGUACAGGAGAGGAGAGUGGAAUUCCACAUGUAGCGGUGAAAUGCGUAGAUAUGUGGAGGAGCACCAAUGGCGAAGGCAGCUCUCUGGCCUGAUACUGACGCUGAGGUGCGAAAGCGUGGGGAGCAAACAGGAUUAGAUACCCCUGUAGUC
rnacentral:rRNA from 1 species